AGAGUUUGAUCCUGGCUCAGAACGAACGCUGGCGGCGUGGAUAAGACAUGCAAGUCGAGCGCUAAUUUCGAGGUAGCAAUAUUUCGGAGUUGGAGCGGCGCAAGGGUGCGUAACACGUGGGUAAUCUGCCAUGAAGUUUGGAAUAACUUGCUGAAAGGCGAGCUAAUACCGGAUGUUAAAAUUGGAAGGCAUCUUCUGAUUUUCAAAGCUGGGGACCGUAAGGCCUGGCGCUUCAUGAUGAGCCCGCGGCCUAUCAGCUAGUUGGUAAGGUAACGGCUUACCAAGGCUAAGACGGGUAGCUGGUCUGAGAGGACGACCAGCCACACUGGAACUGAGACACGGUCCAGACACCUACGGGUGGCAGCAGUCGAGAAUUUUUCACAAUGGGCGCAAGCCUGAUGGAGCGACGCCGCGUGGGGGAUGAAUGGCUUCGGCCCGUAAA
rnacentral:rRNA from 1 species